rnacentral:misc_RNA from 1 species
AAAGUCGUAACAAGGUUUCCGUAGGUGAACCUGCGGAAGGAUCAUUACAGUAUUCUAUUGCCUGCGCUUAAUUGCGCGGCGAUAAACCUUACACACUAUGUUUUUUUUACUAUGAACUAUUACUUUGGUUUGGCUAAGAAAUUAGUUGGGCCAGAGGUGAUUUUAAACUUCAAUUUUAUUGAACUGUUAUUUUAAUUUUUUGUCAAUUUGUUGAUUAAAUUCAAAACAAUCUUCAAAACUUUCAACAACGGAUCUCUUGGUUCUC